UCCCCCGUCUAUGUCUCUACUCUUUCUCCUCUCCCUCCAACACCAUAUCACCUCCUACCGACACCACCCUCCUACCACCACGCUACACACUCAAUUCGCCAUUUUGACUGACCCUGCUUGAUUCUUGUUGGUUUUCCUCUCCCAGGUUGUUGGAACCUUAACGUGGACCUUAUUCUACCCCCAGAUUCUUUGAUUUACACAUGGUGUUUGGUAUAUUCACAAGUGAGACUUUAUUUUGUUUUCCCUCUUGUGUGUCUCCAUCAAAGAUGGCCGCGGGGCCGUAUAACUAUUCCUACAUAUUUAAAUAUAUCAUCAUUGGUGAUAUGGGAGUAGGGAAAUCCUGCCUCUUACACCAAUUCACAGAAAAGAAAUUUAUGGCAGACUGCCCACAUACCAUUGGUGUGGAGUUUGGUACAAGAAUAAUUGAAGUUGCUGGUCAGAAAAUCAAACUUCAGAUUUGGGACACGGCUGGUCAGGAACGUUUCCGGGCGGUCACUAGAAGUUAUUAUCGUGGAGCCGCAGGGGCUCUUAUGGUCUAUGAUAUCACGAGGAGAAGUACAUACAACCAUUUAAGCAGUUGGUUAACGGAUGCCAGGAAUUUAACAAAUCCUAAUACGGUUAUAUUUUUGAUUGGCAAUAAAUCAGAUUUAGAAGGACAAAGAGAUGUUACAUAUGAAGAAGCUAAACAGUUCGCUGAAGAAAAUGGUUUAAUGUUCCUAGAAUGUAGUGCUAAAACUGGAGAAAAUGUAGAGGAUGCUUUUCUGGACACAGCUAAAAAAAUUUACCAAAAUAUUCAAGAUGGAAGUCUUGACCUGAAUGCUGCCGAGUCCGGAGUACAGCACAAACCGUCAGCUCCCCGUAAUGCUCUUAAUACAGACCAAGCCCCAAGCAAAGAGGGCUGUGGUUGCUAGCCUUAACAACUAGUGUGCUAUCAACGUGGUGUGUAAUUACAUCAACAUAGAAACACUCUUCUACAACUGGACGAUGAAUGAGGACACUUAUUGAGUGUGAGUGAGGGAGAGUGAAGCUGAGAGAGAGAGAGAGAGAGAGAGAGAUGUGUUGGUCGAUGAUCCACAAUAUGUAUGUAUGUAUGUGUAUAUGUAUAUAUAUAUAUAUAUAUAUAUAUUUAUUGCCACCCACCCCAGUCCUCUUCCUCCUCCUCCUCCUCACAAUUAGACGACAACAACUGUAAGCAUUUUAUCUUUGUUGACUCUCCUCCCCCUCCUAAACAGAUUAAUAUGUUGUAAGUCGUUAAAUAUAAUUAACUGUGAUGUCAUCUCUAAUACUAUAUCUGUCUGUCUGUCACAUCUCUCCUCUGCCCUUUCCCCCUCCCCCCCGUCUCAACAACACAACCAAUCACAUCCUCCGCCUCAAAACCGUUCCUUCAAUUAUAUGGAGAAACCGUUCUAAUGAGAGGUUUUAAUUAAUUGUCAUUUAUUGUUAUUUUGUUUUUAAUUAGUAAAGACAAGAAGAGAACCAGUUGUAUUAUGUUAUGUUUCUUUUUUUUUUUUUUUUCAAUUUUAUUCAUAUUUAUUCUGUCUGGGGUUUAUAACUGUGACCUUUCACCUUUUGUUUGGCUGACAUCAAGGUUAGUGAACUUUCUGUGUAAGCUUUGACAUUCGUUUCUGAUGGAGUUUGUUACACACACACACACACACCCACAUCUUACUGCUGAACUUCUUAACAACUUUCCCUGCCGUAAAUUCCUUCAGUAAUCUCCUUAACACCUCUCCUUGCUCUCCCUAACUCCUCUCCUAUAUCACACUACAGUUUAUAUAAACCCACAACUUACUGACAAAGAAUCCAGUUAUUUCUAGAUACAUUUAAAACGAUGGAGGUCUGGUGGGGUGUCAAGAAUUUCAAGUUUUGUCUUUUGUUAGUUUUGGAAACUAAAACAAUUCUAUUUAUUAAAAAAAACUUGUUGAAAAUGUUUUAUCCUUAGAGUUUCUCUUUCUUGGGGCUAACUUAACAAUUUUUCCUAUUUCCCAUCUUGAAGAACCCUUAUCCCUAAUUUACCCCAGUUUUACUUUUCUGUCAUUUGGUUGGCUACAGUAUCUUUGGAAUCUAAACUACUUUGCUCUCUUCUGCCUUACACCAUUGCAGGCUUCUUUUUCUAAUGAAACCUUAAUUUUUCUCACACCCCUACUAAUUCACCCUACUCCUUGAACCUUAACAUAUGUUUAAGGGUCAGUUUGAAAGUCAACAAAUUUUUUUUUAAAUGCCCACAAAUGUUGUUUAUCAGUUGUUUCUGAAACCGUAUCUCAACUGGUAUUUUACAAUAUGUCGAUAUUGUUUGUGAUCUUGGGAUCAGUUAUUCUAGAAAUAUUCUCUAGAUCACGUUUUCUUUUCUCUGUAAUUCCCUGUGGACAAUUCACACCAUCCAAUCAUUUUCCACAAAAGAACCAAUACUAAUUGUAUGUUGAAGGUGUGUGUGUGUGUGUGUGGAGGGGAGGACUGACCAGUCAUGGCAGCCACAAAACCCAUUCUCACCAUUUCACACCAUGAAACUAAAUAACCUGUAAAAUUAGAUUUCAACAAAAGUAGUUCUUUUCUUCCUUCUUUCUUUUACAAAGGAGUUGGGGGGGGGUCUCUACUCCUUUUCCCCUGACUACUACUACUACUACUGUUGUUGCUAUACUGUGAUGAUGAAAUGAUGUUUGUGUGUCUUGAGAAAGGUCUGUCACUCACACUCCAAUAUUCAAUCUAUAACACUCAAUCAUACGACACUUCUCACUCCAAAAAUUACGAAAUACAUUUUAAAAGGUAACCAAAGCUACUCAGUUCUUUUAUAUUUGUCUGAGGUUUAGGUCUCUCCAUUCCCGACUGUUUGGAGUCUCCACUCCAAAAUGUUAGAUUCAGAGCUUCACUCAAUAUUGUCAAGUUGAGCUUUCCAUUCACUCAGGUUAAAUGUAGGCCUCUAACUCAGAUCCCCCCCCCCUCCAUUAGUCAUUCUUGAGAAACAUCUGAUGAUGAAAUUCAAACGUUUAAGAAAUAUUGGAGUCAGACUCUCAGCAAUAGGCUUCUCUCUCUCUCUCUCUCUCUCUCUCCAAUAUUGAUAUUAUUUAAUAUUGUGUAUUUCAUAAACUCUGUCCUGCUUGUAAAUAUUUGUUUGUCCUUGGCAAUCUACUUUUUGUUGCCUAGCAACAAAACUAACCCCAAUGUCAGCCAUUUUAUCUCCACAGAUACA
rnacentral:misc_RNA from 1 species